GUGGGGAAUUUUGGACAAUGGGCGCAAGCCUGAUCCAGCAAUGCCGCGUGCAGGAAGAAGGCCUUCGGGUUGUAAACUGCUUUUGUACGGAACGAAACGGUCCUGGUUAAUACCUGGGGCUAAUGACGGUACCGUAAGAAUAAGCACCGGCUAACUACGUGCCAGCAGCCGCGGUAAUACGUAGGGUGCAAGCGUUAAUCGGAAUUACUGGGCGUAAAGCGUGCGCAGGCGGGUUUGUAAGACAGGCGUGAAAUCCCCGGGCUCAACCUGGGAAUUGCGCUUGUGACUGCAAGGCUGGAGUGCGGCAGAGGGGGAUGGAAUUCCGCGUGUAGCAGUGAAAUGCGUAGAUAUGCGGAGGAACACCGAUGGCGAAGGCAAUCCCCUGGGCCUGCACUGACGCUCAUGCACGAAAGCGUGGGGAGCAAACAGGAUUAGAAACCCGUGUAGUCC
rnacentral:rRNA from 1 species